GAGUUUGAUCCUGGCUCAGAUUGAACGCUGGCGGCMGGCUUAACACAUGCAAGUCGAGCGGUAGCACAGGGGAGCUUGCUCCCUGGGUGACGAGCGGCGGACGGGUGAGUAAUGUCUGGGAAACUGCCUGAUGGAGGGGGAUAACUACUGGAAACGGUAGCUAAUACCGCAUAACGUCSCAAGACCAAAGAGGGGGACCUUCGGGCCUCUUGCCMUCAGAUGUGCCCAGAUGGGAUUAGCUAGUAGGUGGGGUAAUGGCUCACCUAGGCGACGAUCCCUAGCUGGUCUGAGGGGAUGACCAGCCACACUGGAACUGAGACACSGUCCAGACUCCUACGGGAGGCAGCAGUGGGGAAUAUUGCACUAUGGGCGCAAGCCUGAUGCAGCCAUGCCGCGUGUGUGAAGAAGGCCUUCGGGUUGUAAAGCACUUUCAGCGAGGAGGAAGGUGGUGAGCUUAAUACGCUCAUCAAUCGACGUUACUCGCAGAAGAAGCACCGGCUAACUCCGUGCCAGCAGCCGCGGUAAUAC
rnacentral:rRNA from 1 species